GGUUGCAAAAGAAGUAGGUAGCUUAACCUUCGGGAGGGUGCUUACCACUUUGUGAUUCAUGACUGGGGUGAAGUCGUAACAAGGUAACCGUAUGGGAACCUGCGGUUGGAUCACCUCCUUACAUUAAAGAAGC
rnacentral:rRNA from 1 species